rnacentral:misc_RNA from 1 species
AAGCCUGCAAAGCAAAACGACCCGCGAACAUGUUAUUACAACCAUGCCAUGAUGGGUCGGGCGUCUGUUCGAUCCUCAUGGCACACCGWCGAUGUGCGUMUUUGAUGUCCCAUUGGGGCCUCUUGGUCGUUGCUUCGACGUAACAAAACCCCGGCACGGGAUGUGCCAAGGAAAACUGAAUUGAAGAAUGGCUCGUUCCAUGAUGUCCCGUUUGCGGUGUGCUCAUGGAGCGUGGCUUCUUUGUAAUCA